ACUACGGGUGGCAGCAGUGGGGGAUAUUGCACAAUGGGGGGAACCCUGAUGCAGCGACGCCGCGUGGGUGAAGAAGCGCCUCGGCGCGUAAAGCCCUGUCAGCAGGGAAGAAAAUGACGGUACCUGAAGAAGAAGCCCCGGCUAACUACGUGCCAGCAGCCGCGGUAAUACGUAGGGGGCAAGCGUUAUCCGGAUUUACUGGGUGUAAAGGGGGCGCAGACGGCGAUGCAAGCCAGGAGUGAAAGCCCGGGGCCCAACCCCGGGACUGCUCUUGGAACUGCGUGGCUGGAGUGCAGGAGGGGCAGGCGGAAUUCCUGGUGUAGCGGUGAAAUGCGUAGAGAUCAGGAGGAACACCGGUGGCGAAGGCGGCCUGCUGGACUGCAACUGACGUUGAGGCCCGAAAGCGUGGGGAGCAAACAGGAUUAGAUACCCGAGUAGUC
rnacentral:rRNA from 1 species